rnacentral:rRNA from 1 species
AUUGAACGCUGGCGGCAGGCCUAACACAUGCAAGUCGAGCGGAUGAAGGGAGCUUGCUCCUGGAUUCAGCGGCGGACGGGUGAGUAAUGCCUAGGAAUCAGCCUGGUAGUGGGGGAUAACGUCCGGAAACGGGCGCUAAUACCGCAUACGUCCUGAGGGAGAAAGUGGGGGAUCUUCGGACCUCACGCUAUCAGAUGAGCCUAGGUCGGAUUAGCUAGUUGGUGGGGUAAGGGCCUACCAAGGCGACGAUCCGUAACUGGUCUGAGAGGAUGAUCAGUCACACUGGAACUGAGACACGGUCCAGACUCCUACGGGAGGCAGCAGUGGGGAAUAUUGGACAAUGGGCGAAAGCCUGAUCCAGCCAUGCCGCGUGUGUGAAGAAGGUCUUCGGAUUGUAAAGCACUUUAAGUUGGGAGGAAGGGCAGUAAGUUAAUACCUUGCUGUUUUGACGUUACCAACAGAAUAAGCACCGGCUAACUUCGUG